UUUAUGGAGAGUUUGAUCCUGGCUCAGGAUGAACGCUGGCGGCGUGCCUAAUACAUGCAAGUCGAGCGAACAGACGAGGAGCUUGCUCCUCUGACGUUAGCGGCGGACGGGUGAGUAACACGUGGAUAACCUACCUAUAAGACUGGGAUAACUUCGGGAAACCGGAGCUAAUACCGGAUAAUAUAUUGAACCGCAUGGUUCAAUAGUGAAAGACGGUUUUGCUGUCACUUAUAGAUGGAUCCGCGCCGCAUUAGCUAGUUGGUAAGGUAACGGCUUACCAAGGCAACGAUGCGUAGCCGACCUGAGAGGGUGAUCGGCCACACUGGAACUGAGACACGGUCCAGACUCCUACGGGAGGCAGCAGUAGGGAAUCUUCCGCAAUGGGCGAAAGCCUGACGGAGCAACGCCGCGUGAGUGAUGAAGGUCUUCGGAUCGUAAAACUCUGUUAUUAGGGAAGAACAAAUGUGUAAGUAACUAUGCACGUCUUGACGGUACCUAAUCAGAAAGCCACGGCUAACUACGUGCCAGCAGCCGCGGUAAUACGUAGGUGGCAAGCGUUAUCCGGAAUUAUUGGGCGUAAAGCGCGCGUAGGCGGUUUUUUAAGUCUGAUGUGAAAGCCCACGGCUCAACCGUGGAGGGUCAUUGGAAACUGGAAAACUUGAGUGCAGAAGAGGAAAGUGGAAUUCCAUGUGUAGCGGUGAAAUGCGCAGAGAUAUGGAGGAACACCAGUG
rnacentral:rRNA from 1 species